rnacentral:rRNA from 1 species
GACGAACGCUGGCGGCGUGCCUAAUACAUGCAAGUAGAACGCUGAAGGAGGAGCUUGCUUCUCCGGAUGAGUUGCGAACGGGUGAGUAACGCGUAGGUAACCUGCCUGGUAGCGGGGGAUAACUAUUGGAAACGAUAGCUAAUACCGCAUAACAGUAGAUGUUGCAUGACAUUUGCUUAAAAGGUGCAAUUGCAUCACUACCAGAUGGACCUGCGUUGUAUUAGCUAGUUGGUGAGGUAACGGCUCACCAAGGCGACGAUACAUAGCCGACCUGAGAGGGUGAGCGGCCACACUGGGAGUGAGACACGGCCCAGACUCCUACGGAAGGCAGCAGUAGGGAAUCUUCGGCAAUGGACGGAAGUCUGAGCGAGCAACGCCGCGUGAGUGAAGAAGGUUUUCGGAUCGUAAAGCUCUGUUGUAAGAGAAGAACGAGUGUGAGAGUGGAAAGUUCACACUGUGACGGUAUCUUACCAGAAAGGGACGGCUAACUACGUG